GCCUGUAUGGACACCCCACAACCGGCCCGCUGAUGAUAUGGAAGCUCGACAAUCCUACGUCAAGAACUUCCCCGUGUCUGGUUAAUUGCUUGGAGAUGCGUUCAUCCAUAAACUAACUACUCAGAUGCCAUAUUUAGAUUUAGAAUUCCAACAUAUGAAUAUUCAUCAUGAAUAUAUAUUUCAUUUGACAAUUUGCUGCACUUCCGGGGCAAUGGUUUUGGGAAUUUAGUAUAUUUUGUGUAUGGGUUCCAACUCUUUAACAUUACAAAAGUGUUAAACAGUCUAUUCCACCCUAUUUUGCAAAAUACUUUUUCAAGUGCCCUUGGAUAUAUUUUCUAAAAUUCCAAUUUUGAUAUCAGAUGGAUGAAAACUAUUUAGUUUUAUCCAGUGUACAAUUUGAUAUGAUACCUGGUGUAUCGAUUUAAUUGAUAAAUGAUACAUUACUUAUAAAUUUGGUAUAUCAAUUCAAUGGUACCUUGUCCAUCAAUUUGUCAACAAUAUCUGAAUGGUAAAUAAGAAUUCAGAUUGUCUUUUUCACUUUGAAAAUAAAGCCAUGGUAUUGAAAUAUCU
rnacentral:misc_RNA from 1 species